rnacentral:rRNA from 1 species
UACGUAGGGGGCGAGCGUUGUCCGGAUUUAUUGGGCGUAAAGAGCGUGUAGGCGGCUAGGUAGGUCCGUUGUGAAAACUAGAGGCUUAACCUCUAGACGUCGAUGGAAACUGUUUGGCUAGAGUCCGGAAGAGGAGAAUGGAAUUCCUGGUGUAGCGGCGAAAUGCGCAGAUAUCAGGAGGAACACCGGUGGCGAAGGCGGUUCUCUGGGCCUUACCUGACGCUGAGGAGCGAAAGCGUGGGGAGCAAACAGG